rnacentral:lncRNA from 1 species
GUGUGCUCCUAAUUUUUAUCAAACAUAAUGUCAAUAAAAGCUAAAUAAGUUAAGUUAGGUUAACCUACAUAUUACACAAAAGGUUCGAUUAAGUUAAGUUAACCUACAUAUCACACAUAAGCUAAAUAACUACUAGAGUAAACACAUCCAUCCGCUCAACUCUCCGGUGGUAGAUGGAAGUUGAGGACAUGCCUCCCAAACACAGAGACCACCAGGUGGACCACCAAAGAUGAGCUUGAUAAGCUCAUUGUCAGGUCAACUGUAAAAAAAACCAACAGUGAACCAAAUCAGACCCUAAACCCUGUUUAUAACAUGAUAAUGACUAAAUCUGACCCUGAUUAACUAACAUUGGCCGAUUAUACCUUUGGUGUGGCGGAUGAUAUAGCGGGUUAUCCAACAAAAGACCGACAUUUUCACUGAUCUGAAGAUAGCGGUUGUGGUUGUUGUGAUUGGACGAGGAGAAGAAUGAUCGGACGAGGAGAUGUCGCCGGAGAGACACUGAUCGCCGCCGGUGUGUUAUGUCGCCGGAGAAGAAGGUUGAAGGUCGAUGGCAAAAGAAAGAAAAAGAAAGAUUAACAGAGAAAUGGGAGAAGGGGUAGGGGUGGGGGUGGGGUAGGGGUAGAGAAAAGGUGGGCCCACUUUUUAAAAAAAAAAAUAUUAUAAUUGGUAUACUGUUUUAAUUAUUUUCAUUGAAGUAAGGGCAAUUUCGUCAUUUCACAUCCAUUUAACACAAAAAACUAACCUCCAUCUGCUUC